GCCCGGUUAGCUCAAUCGGUAGAGCGUGAGACUCUUAAUCUCAAGGUUGCGGGUAUGUGUUACCGAGAGAAAAAAAAAAAAUGUUGGUGUUAUAAGUUGCUAACCCUACCCGCUAGGUUCGACCCCCGCAUCGGGCU
rnacentral:tRNA from 1 species